rnacentral:rRNA from 1 species
UACAGAGGGUGCGAGCGUUGUCCGGAAUCACUGGGCGUAAAGGGCGCGUAGGCGGCCGAUCAAGUGUGUGGUGAAAGCCCGGGGCUCAACCCCGGGUCUGCCGUGCAAACUGGUUGGCUUGAGCACUGUAGAGGCAGGUGGAAUUCCGGGUGUAGCGGUGGAAUGCGUAGAGAUCCGGAAGAACACCGGUGGCGAAGGCGGCCUGCUGGGCAGUAGCUGACGCUGAGGCGCGACAGCGUGGGGAGCAAAC